rnacentral:misc_RNA from 1 species
AAGACUAUAGACCUGCGGAGUACCUGCGGAAGGAUCAUUAUCGUAUUGUAACAAUUGGGGGGGCCACCGUGGGCUGUCGCUGACCCUUUGAAAGGGGGGUCGUGCACGCCCCCAUAGUGUCAUCCUCAUACAAUCCAACUCACCUCUGUGCAUCACCGCGUGGGUUCCUUUCUGGGUCGAGUCAGACUGGCUCAGAAAAAAGGGGCUUGCGUUUUCCAUACAAAUACCCUAUAAAUCCAG